AAUUAAAAAAGCGAUGAGGCUCGCUUGAGAUGUAAUCAAACCGCCGUUUUUGGCUGAUAGCCUCUGUCUUAUU
rnacentral:ncRNA from 1 species